AAUGAACGUUGGCGGCGUGGAUUAGGCAUGCAAGUCGUGCGGAAAGGCUCCUUCGGGAGUACUCGAGCGGCGAAAGGGAGAGUAACGCGUGGAUAUCUACCCCCUGGACUGGGAUAGCGGCGGGAAACUGCCGGUAAUACCAGAUAACGUCUGCGGACCAAAGGUGUGAUUCCGCCGGGGGAUGAGUUCGCGUCCUAUUAGCUAGUUGGUAGGGUAACGGCCUACCAAGGCAAAGAUGGGUACCCGGGUGUGAGAGCAUGGCCCGGCUCACUGGGACUGAGACACUGCCCAGACACCUACGGGUGGCUGCAGUCGAGAAUCUUCGGCAAUGGGCGCAAGCCUGACCGAGCGACGCCGCGUGCGGGAU
rnacentral:rRNA from 1 species